rnacentral:rRNA from 1 species
GGAUUAGAUACCCUGGUAGUCUACGCCGUAAACGAUGGAUACUAGUUGUUUGGUAUUUAUACUGAGUGACUAAGCGAAAGUGAUAAGUAUCCCACCUGGGGAGUACGUUCGCAAGAAUGAAACUCAAAGGAAUUGACGGGGGCCCGCACAAGCGGUGGAGCAUGUGGUUUAAUUCGAUGAUACGCGAGGAACCUUACCAGGGCUUAAAUGUAGUAUGACAGGUUUAGAGAUAGACUUUUCUUCGGACAUAUUACAAGGUGCUGCAUGGUUGUCGUCAGCUCGUGUCG